UAUUUUAGAAUGACUUUAGAGUCACAGAAAAGUUGCAGAGUUCCCAUACAUUCUUCAUCCAGAUCACCCCAGAGAUGUGAUUACCCAAACUGGAAGAGGCUAGGAAAGAGUAUCAGGUCGUCAGGAACGGGGAUGACAGUGUUGUGAAUCACCAGGCACCAUCCUGGACUGAGUUUGAAGUUGAGAUUGCCAACCAAGUCUUGGACAUGCAUGUCUGGAAAGGCAUAAAAAAGGAAUGAAGAAUGCAGACUUGGGAUCCCUGAGAGCUAGGUUGACUCAUUAGAAGAGGAUUGUGGGAGAACUUUGGAGAGAGGCAGACCCAGAGC
rnacentral:lncRNA from 1 species